GAGCGGCUCGGCUCCAUCCUGGCCGUUGUCAUGGAGACAAAGUGCAGGAGCACGUCAUUGGGGCCCACCGUGCCAGCACCGCCUGUGGUGGUAAUGAUGGAUUUAGCCAGAUUGUAGAUCAGAUGUACGAGCAGGCCAUUGUUGGUGAAAGGCUUUGACAACUUCCACCGAGAACAUAUUGUAUGCAAUUACUUCCAUUCCGCCAGAAUUGAAAAAAACGACCUAAUGGAAGGGAGUGAGUGUGCAGUUAUUACUGGGUAUUUUAUAAUCACGGCCUGAAGCUACCAUAAUCCUUGAUUAAUCUUCAUCAUUAAGCCAAAUGAUUGAACCUGGUUUAAUGAGAAAUGUUGAAGAGCAGGACCAAUGCCAGACAUGACUCGAAAUGAAGUGGCAAACCAACAAAGCUAUAAUAAAGAACAGGGCAGAAGCAGGAUGCUAUGGACAGAGCUAAGCAUUUCCAAAACCAAUGAAUUAUAUUAAAGUUCUGCCAUAUUCCAUACCCAAGUACAAAUGGCAGUAAACAUGGUUUCAUAAAUGCCACUGACUUCAAUGAUGUCUGAUGUCAGACAUGAGUAUGAGAUAAGCUU